rnacentral:rRNA from 1 species
UGUGCGAUCCAUCUAGGUGUUGAGACUGGUAGGCAAAUCCGCCAGUUGAGCUGAGGUGAGAGCGAGCCGUAAGGCAUAAGUGGUUGAGCCUUGUUGCCAAGAAAAGCCUCUAAACGUUGAUUUCUGAGUGCCCGUACCGCAAUCCGACACCGGUAGAUGGGUAGAGUAUACCAAGGCGAACGGGAGAACCCUCGUUAAGGAACUAGGCAACAUAACCCCGUAACUUCGGGAGAAGGGGUACCCUCUAAGGUGUUAAAGCCCUGGAGGGUCGCAGUGAAAUGGCUCUGGCGACUGUUUAACAAAAACACAGGUCUCUGCUAAGCCGUAAGGCGAUGUAUAGGGGCUGACACGUGCCCAGUGCCGGAAGGUUAAAGGGAGAGGUUAGCGCAAGCGAAGCUUUGAACUGAAGCCCCGGUGAACGGCGGCCGUAACUAUAACGGUCCUAAGGUAGCGAAAUUCCUUGUCGGGUAAGUUCCGACCCGCACGAACCGUGUAACGAUCAGAGCACUGUCUCAACGAGGGACCCGGUGAAGUUGAAAUGGCUGUGAAGAUGCGGCCUACCCGCAGCAGGACAAAAAGACCCCGUGGAGCUUUACUGUAACUUGGCAUUGUGUUUGGGUAUGAUCUGUGUAGCAUAGGUGGGAGGCUUUGAAGCUGGGGCGUCAGCCUCGGUGGAGCCAUUAGUGAAAUACCACCCUGAUUAUAUUUAGACCCUAACCCCACACCGUAAUCCGGGUGGGGGACCGUGCCAGGUGGGCAGUUUGACUGGGGCGGUCGCCUCCUAAAAGGUAACGGAGGCGCCCAAAGGUUCCCUCAGGCAGAAUGGAAACCUGCCAUAGAGUGCAAAGGCAUAAGGGAGCUUGACUGCAAGACCAACGCGUCGAGCAGAUACGAAAGUAGGGCUUAGUGAUCCCACGGUACCGAGUGGAAGGGCCGUGGCUUACCGGAUAAAAGCUACCCCGGGGAUAACAGGCUGGUGAGAUCCAAGAGUUCACAUCGACGAUCUCGCUCGGCACCUCGAUGUCGGCUCAUCGCAUCCUGGGGCUGGACAAAGUCCCAAGGGUCGGGCUGUUCGCCCGUUAAAGCGGUACGCGAGCUGGGUUCAGACCGUCGUGAGACAGGUCGGUCUCUAUCCGCUGUGGGCGUAAGGGAUUUGAGAGGAGCUGCUCCUAGUACGAGAGGACCGGAGUGGACUGACCUCUGGUGUGCCAGUUGUCGUGCCAACGGCAUUGCUGGGUAGCUACGUCGGGCAGAGAUAACCGCUGAAAGCAUCUAAGUGGGAAACUCGCCUCAAGAUUAGAUCCCUGUAAUCCAGUUAAUGGAGUAAGACCCCAGGUAGACCACCUGGUAUAUAGGCAACAAGUGUAAGCGCAGUAAUGUGUUGAGCUAAGUUGUACUAAUGGUCGAGGGCUGAAACC